rnacentral:rRNA from 1 species
GAUGAACGCUAGCGGCAGGCUUAAUACAUGCAAGUCGAGGGGCAGCAUGAUUGUAGCAAUACAAUUGAUGGCGACCGGCAAACGGGUGCGGAACACGUACACAACCUUCCAACAAGUGGGGGAUAGCCCAGAGAAAUUUGGAUUAAUACCCCGUAACAUAGCGAUGUGGCAUCACAUUGCUAUUAUAGAUUUUUCGCUUGUUGAUGGGUGUGCGGCUGAUUAGAUAGUUGGCGGGGUAACGGCCCACCAAGUCUACGAUCAGUAGCUGAUGUGAGAGCAUGAUCAGCCACACGGGCACUGAGACACGGGCCCGACUCCUACGGGAGGCAGCAGUAAGGAAUAUUGGACAAUGGACGCAAGUCUGAUCCAGCCAUGCCGCGUGAAGGAUUAAGGUCCUCUGGAUUGUAAACUUCUUUUAUAAGGGACGAAAAAAGGCUUUUCUAAGUCGUCUGACGGUACCUUAUGAAUAAGCACCGGCUAACUCCGUGCCAGCAGCCGCCGUAAUAC